UAUUAUUUAUAGCUAUUGUCGAUUUUUUUUUUUUUUUUUAUUUUAUUUUAUAUAAGGAAAAAUUGUUUCGGCUAAGUAAAAAUGCUUGAAAAUUUGAUACACGGUUUUAUUAAAUUAAAUACGAUUCUAAGCAGAUUUAAGUUGAACGUGAUAAAUUGAAAUGGAAAAUUACGGGUGCUUUUGAAAUUUCCCUUAUCUGUGUGUUCAUUCUUCUUCCCCAGCAGUUCAACACGGUAUCAUAUAUAGGAUUAAAUUCCUUCAAACAUAGUUCGUAGUCUUUAUAAAUCCUUAAUACUAUCCUAAAUAACAUUGUGAUCUUGUCUGAACAUUGUGAACUAUUAUGUGUGCUGUAUUAUUGUAUUAUUAAAUAAACUAUAAUUAU